rnacentral:rRNA from 1 species
AACGAACGCUGGCGGCAUGCCUAACACAUGCAAGUCGAACGAACCCUUCGGGGUUAGUGGCGCACGGGUGCGUAACGCGUGGGGAUCUGCCCAAAGGUUCGGAAUAACUCAGAGAAAUUUGAGCUAAUACCGGAUAAUGUCUUCGGACCAAAGAUUUAUUGCCUUUGGAUGAACCCGCGUAGGAUUAGCUUGUUGGUGGGGUAAAGGCCUACCAAGGCGACGAUCCUUAGCUGGUCUGAGAGGAUGAUCAGCCACACUGGGACUGAGACACGGCCCAGACUCCUACGGGAGGCAGCAGUGGGGAAUAUUGGACAAUGGGCGAAAGCCUGAUCCAGCAAUGCCGCGUGAGUGAUGAAGGCCUUAGGGUUGUAAAGCUCUUUUACCAGGGAUGAUAAUGACAGUACCUGGAGAAUAAGCUCCGGCUAACUCCGUGCCAGCAGCCGCGGUAAAGUAGACGU